AGAACGAACGCUGGCGGCAUGCCUAACACAUGCAAGUCGAACGAGACCUUCGGGUCUAGUGGCGCACGGGUGCGUAACGCGUGGGAAUCUGCCCUUAGGUUCGGAAUAACAGUUAGAAAUGACUGCUAAUACCGGAUAAUGUCUUCGGACCAAAGAUUUAUCGCCAAAGGAUGAGCCCGCGUAAGAUUAGCUAGUUGGUGGGGUAAAAGCCUACCAAGGCGACGAUCUUUAGCUGGUCUGAGAGGAUGAUCAGCCACACUGGGACUGAGACACGGCCCAGACUCCUACGGGAGGCAGCAGUGGGGAAUAGUUGGACAAUGGGCGAAAGCCUGAUCCAGCAAUGCCGCGUGAGUGAUGAAGGCCUUAGGUGUAAGCUUCGUUUACCCGGGAUGAUAAUGACAGUACCGGAGUAACGUAACGUCCCCGGCUAACCGUCCGUGACCCAGCCAGCCGAC
rnacentral:rRNA from 1 species